ACUGCACUAACCACUGGUGGAUUUUACAUCACAUUAUCCUCUUUGUACCCAUUCUAAGAAUUACUGUACCUGUUAAGUUCCAGGUAACUAAGGUCUGACUGGAAACGUAUUCCCUAUUGUCAUGAGAACCAUGCUGCAUUCUGUCAUGUGCGUCAGAGGCACAUGAGUGUUGAAGAGCAGUAUGAUAACAAUUCUUUAAAAUUCAGAUUUCAAGUUUUUUUCAAUGAUAGUAAUCACUUCACCCAUUACAUUACUUUGAAAAGUCUCCCCUCUUUUCACUUCCAAAGCAGUUUUUCCAAUUCCACCCACCUCCACACAAGAAUGAGGCUGAGCCCAUUCAAAUCUUCUUUUAGCCACAAAAUCUGUGAACAAACAGCCCUGUGUAUUCCACAGAAGUGCUGCUUUUUCUGCAAGGAUGAGAGGAAGAUGUGCUGUUUCUGAGAGAAGAGAGAAGAGCUGUCGUAACCUGAGGCCAUUUUUCCGACUGCAGCCAGGCAGUUUUGCUUCAGGGCACUGCUUUUGUUAUCUCCCCUUAUGCCUUCUGCAAAUGAAAUCAUACAAAGAAGCUUCCAAGAGAGAGCUACUUUUUUUGAGGAGGACUCGGCAGCUGAAGGAAGUUGCUCUUGAUGGAUAGGAACAGGGGGCUGCUUCAUCAUAACUAAAACAAAACAUGUUCAAUAGACCUGCUGUGAUUGCUGAAGGCUUCUUUCCUCAGCUGUAGUUCAGCAACAAAGGUUACAUGAAGUCCUAGAGCGGAUCCUCAUGUGGAUGCACUGCACACCGCUGUGAUGAAUGUGUGUUCCUCCACCAUGGAACAAAAGCAAGGUUUUACCAGCCAAGGCAGUGCCACUCAAGUUGUACAGCUGGAUUUUGCUUAGAAAUAAAUACUUGCUUUUGGAUUUAA